rnacentral:rRNA from 1 species
GAUGAACGCUGGCGGCGUGCCUAAUACAUGCAAGUCGAGCGAACGGACGAGAAGCUUGCUUCUCUGAUGUUAGCGGCGGACGGGUGAGUAACACGUGGAUAACCUACCUAUAAGACUGGGAUAACUUCGGGAAACCGGAGCUAAUACCGGAUAAUAUUUUGAACCGCAUGGUUCAAAAGUGAAAGACGGUCUUGCUGUCACUUAUAGAUGGAUCCGCGCUGCAUUAGCUAGUUGGUAUGGUAACGGCUUACCAAGGCAACGAUGCAUAGCCGACCUGAGAGGGUGAUCGGCCACACUGGAACUGAGACACGGUCCAGACUCCUACGGGAGGCCGCAGUAGGGAAUCUUCCGCAAUGGGCGAAAGCCUGACGGAGCAACGCCGCGUGAGUGAUGAAGGUCUUCGGAUCGUAAAACUCUGUUAUUAGGGAAGAACAUAUGUGUAAGUAACUGUGCACAUCUUGACGGUACCUAAUCAGAAAGCCACGGCUAACUACGUG